rnacentral:misc_RNA from 1 species
UGUGGAGGGGGCUUGCCCCCGAUGGGGCCUGCUCAGUCGAUACCUGGGUUGCUGACCCACUGCUAUCGGGGGCAAGCCCCCUCCCAC